GAUGAACGCUGGCGGCGUGCCUAAUACAUGCAAGUCGCGCGAACAGACGAGGAGCUUGCUCCUCUGACGUUAGCGGCGGACGGGUGAGUAACACGUGGAUAACCUACCUAUAAGACUGGGAUAACUUCGGGAAACCGGAGCUAAUACCGGAUAAUAUAUUGAACCGCAUGGUUCAAUAGUGAAAGACGGUUUUGCUGUCACUUAUAGAUGGAUCCGCGCCGCAUUAGCUAGUUGGUAAGGUAACGGCUUACCAAGGCAACGAUGCGUAGCCGACCUGAGAGGGUGAUCGGCCACACUGGAACUGAGACACGGUCCAGACUCCUACGGGAGGCAGCAGUAGGGAAUCUUCCGCAAUGGGCGAAAACCUGACGGAGCAACGCCGCGUGAGUGAUGAAGGUCUUCGGAUCGUAAAACUCUGUUAUUAGGGAAGAACAAAUGUGUAAGUAACUAUGCACGUCUUGACGGUACCUAAUCAGAAAGCCACGGCUAACUACGUG
rnacentral:rRNA from 1 species